rnacentral:tRNA from 1 species
GGGGUUGUGGCUUAGUGGUAGAGCACUCGCCUAGCCUGUGUGAAGCCCUGGGUUCGAUUCUCAGCACCACA